UACGGAGGGUGCGAGCGUUGUCCGGAAUCACUGGGCGUAAAGGGCGCGUAGGCGGCUCAUGAAGGCUGUGGUGAAAGUCCGGGGCUCAACCUCGGAUCGGCCGUGGCGACUCGUGGGCUGGAGCACUGUAGAGGCGGGUGGAAUUCCGGGUGUAGCGGUGGAAUGCGUAGAUAUCGAGAGGAACACCUGCGGCGAAGGCGGGUUGCUGGGCUGACACUGACGCUGAAGCGCGAAAGCUAGGGGAGCGAACGGG
rnacentral:rRNA from 1 species